rnacentral:rRNA from 1 species
CCAAUAGCGUAUAUUAAAGUUGUUGCAGUUAAAAAGCUCGUAGUUGAAUUUCGGGGUUAGUAGAUUGGUCAUGCCUCUGGUAUGUACUGGUCUCACUGAUUCCUCCUUCCUGAUGAUCCGUAAUGCCAUUAAUUUGGUGUUGCGGGGAAUUUGGACUGUUACUUUGAAAAAAUUAGAGUGUUUAAAGCAAGCUAACGCUUGAAUACAUUAGCAUGGAAUA